AGCUCCAAUAGCGUAUAUUUAAGUUGUUGCAGUUAAAAAGCUCGUAGUUGGAUUUCGGGCCCAGGUGACCGGUCCGCCGUUUCGGUGUGCACUGGUUAGCUCGGUCUUUCUGCCGGGGACACGCUCCGUCUUAAUUGCCGGACGUGGAGUCGGCGAUGUUACUUUGAAAAAAUUAGAGUGUUCAAAGCAGGCUUACGCUCUGAAUACUAUAGCAUGGAAUAACACGAUAGGACUCCGAGCCUAUUUUGUUGGUCUUCGGGACCGGAGUAAUGAUUAAGAGGGACAGUUGGGGGCAUUCGUAUUACGGUGUCAGAGGUGAAAUUCUUGGAUUUCCGUAAGACGAACUUCUGCGAAAGCAUUUGCCAAGGAUGUUUUCA
rnacentral:rRNA from 1 species